rfam:Eggerthella lenta DSM 2243, complete genome.
GUUUGACACAGCCCCACGGUUGCCGGUCUGGCAGCAACAUUCGGUCGCGGUUCGAUGAC